UCCCAGGUGGCUCAGAUGGUAAAGCAUCUGCCUGCAAUGCAGAAGACCUGGGUUCAAUCCCUGGGUCAGGAA
rnacentral:tRNA from 1 species